rnacentral:rRNA from 1 species
CAGUAGGGUGCUCAUCAAGAGGUGUAUUUGGAAAUAUCCCUAAUACAGGAUCACUUGGAUCCGUCGGCGAUA